UUGUCGCAAAGUGCUGCAAUUCUUACAUCAUAUGGCAGACAACACAUCAUGACGUCAUAAUAUUCAUGGUCACAUGAUUCCGCUUUGUUCUUGUCUUUUGAAACGGAUUUUUCUAGCUCUACUAGUUUGAAUAUAUUUAUCAUCAAGUCUAAACACAUUAAACCAUAAGAACAUAUUUUUCAACCUUCUGCAAUGUUCUGCAUGUUAGUGCAUGCGGAGGGUCACGUCUUCUAGAACAUUCGCCGCUGCGCAAUUCCCGAACGUAUUUAAGGCCACAGGGUGCGCAGACUGACGCAUUUCGACUCCAGCCACGGACGGGGGAACUACGGUCGCCUUCAAGCAACUAUUUAUUUUAGAUUUAUAUUCAGCUUUAGUGAAUUGGUAGGAAUUGGAAAAGCAAGAAGAAUGGCGGAAAGCGAACAACGGAUUCCAAGUGCGAAGAGGGAAGGAUGGCGAGAAGAUGAGGGAGAACACGUGGCUGACGGUGCGGGGUGAAGCCAGCAAGCCAGCCGGACACCCUGAGGGUUGCCAGAUGAACAUCUAUCACCUUUGUUAGAAACGGGUCCUCUUACCUGCCUUCCUGAUAGAUAAGUGUGGCUGACAUGUGGCAGGUGUUGCAAGGGUAGGAAAGUAAUGCAACAUUUGCCCGUGUUGGGACAGGUAAAUCAGAAGAUCCUACAGUAAUUACAUUGGCGACUUGUUUAGAAUUCUUAAGUGGAACACAGUAAGGUAGUUGUAUGAAUAAAACGGUUUCUGUUGGUUGUUUUAUUGUACGAAGGUUGCUGCAGGUAUAUGAUACUCCCAUGAGUAGAA
rnacentral:lncRNA from 1 species